AGGGGGUGCAUAAUACAUGCAAGUCGAGCGAAUGGAUUAAGAGCUUGCUCUUAUGAAGUUAGCGGCGGACGGGUGAGUAACACGUGGGUAACCUGCCCAUAAGACUGGGAUAACUCCGGGAAACCGGGGCUAAUACCGGAUAACAUUUUGAACUGCAUGGUUCGAAAUUGAAAGGCGGCUUCGGCUGUCACUUAUGGAUGGACCCGCGUCGCAUUAGCUAGUUGGUGAGGUAACGGCUCACCAAGGCAACGAUGCGUAGCCGACCUGAGAGGGUGAUCGGCCACACUGGGACUGAGACACGGCCCAGACUCCUACGGGAGGCAGCAGUAGGGAAUCUUCCGCAAUGGACGAAAGUCUGACGGAGCAACGCCGCGUGAGUGAUGAAGGCUUUCGGGUCGUAAAACUCUGUUGUUAGGGAAGAACAAGUGCUAGUUGAAUAAGCUGGCACCUUGACGGUACCUAACCAGAAAGCCACGGCUAACUACGUGCCAGCAGCCGCGGUAAUACGUAGGUGGCAAGCGUUAUCCGGAAUUAUUGGGCGUAAAGCGCGCGCAGGUGGUUUCUUAAGUCUGAUGUGAAAGCCCACGGCUCAACCGUGGAGGGUCAUUGGAAACUGGGAGACUUGAGUGCAGAAGAGGAAAGUGGAAUUCCAUGUGUAGCGGUGAAAUGCGUAGAGAUAUGGAGGAACACCAGUGGCGAAGCGACUUUUCUGGUCUGUAACUGACACUGAGGCGCGAAAAGCGUGGGGAGCAAACAGGAUUAGAUACCCCUGGUAGUCCACGCCCGUAACGAUGAGUGCUAAAGUGU
rnacentral:rRNA from 1 species